rnacentral:lncRNA from 1 species
UGAAACCUCAGUUUAAAACAGUUAGAAGCAAAAACCCGAAAUCAAUACUCAAAUCGACUAAUAGAACGUCGAUAACGGAAAAAAACUAGUUUAUUACCUUCUCAGGCUUCCAACCAGCACCUCACUGGCUCAGGGCUGCGAAAAAGCCUUCCAAAUACUCCCUCACACAUCCACAUAAGCUCUGCGACACUCGCGACCAGCGAAAGCCAAACGGCGCGACGAAAACGAGCGAAAUCGUCGAAUUCUAA